GGAGACAGGAGAGAACGCAAGUGAAAGGAAGAAGACAGAGUCUGCAGCUGGAGAGUCUGGGGAGAGGGGAAAAACCAAAGAAAAAAACUAAAACUGGGAUGGAGAUAUACUGGCACCUUAGGGAGAUCUGUGGGGAAAGCUGAGAAGAUGCAGCUUGGAAGUCAAGGGGGAAGCCUUGCAGUCUAGAGCCAUGAAAGAGAUUUCUAGAACACUGAAGCAGACCUAGAAAAGGAGCUCAGAAGACCCUGCCUGGAAAACUUGGCACAGACAUGAAGCCUUAGAAACCAGGCACAAGCUUGCCAUCAGGUUCCAGGCAGUGAUCUGUCAUGUGAGAACAGGGGUAUCCCAUGUACGUAUAAGUGUUCCUUUUUGUAUCUGUAACAUGUGGAUGAUAUGUAUACAGGAAUAGUAGAACUGGUCCAAUUUUAGUGAAAGGAAUAUAGAAUCCAGGAGACUGGGUCUUUCUAGCCCCAUAUUGUUUGCACACUGAUUGGCAGCAGCUGUUCAGAGUUUCGGACAGGCAUCUUUCCCAGUCCUGCUCUGCCACUGAGCUGUGGCUUAGUGGCUCUUCUACUAUAGGACCCAUGUUCUAUUGGUAAAUUGAAAUAUCAAAGCUACUGCCUCUGAACUUGAUUCCUAUUCCCACACCUUAUACAGUGGUACCUCGGGUUAAGAACUUAAUUCGUUCUGGAGGUCUGUUCUUAACCUGAAACUGUUCUUAACCUGAAGCACCACUUUAGCUAAUAGGGCCUCCCGCUGCCGCCGCGCCGCUGCUGCACGAUUUCUGUUCUCAUCCUGAAGCAAAGUUCUUAACCCAAGGUACUAUUUGUAGGUUAGCGGAGUCUGUAACCUGAAGCGUAUGUAACCUGAAGCGUCUGUAACCCAAGGUACCACUGUAACUGUGGCGAAUAGUGUUGAUUAUUCACUGGUGAAGAAAACAGGACUUUCACACAGAUACUCUGCUCUCCAGGCGAGCUGCAAGUUAUGGUGAGCUUUUUUUAACAAAAUAAAUUACAGCAUGCCUUAUUUCUAAGUAAUGUAUCACAUUUAGCCUGUGGCGAACAUCUGAAAUGUACCCAGAGAGAAAGAAUGGCUUUUGCAACGUAAUUCUUGGCUUGCACAUUUGCCUCGCUAGUGACGACCAUUUCCUCCUCUUGUUAAACUGAAUGGCAAAAUUCCCAUUCAUGUCCACUGGGAGCAGAAUCGGAACCAGUCUGUGUAUCCUGGACAUUUUUAAAAGGUAAAAGGCUUCCAGCUUGACUGACAUAUACAGUGUCUUAUUUCCCAUAUACCUUGUGUUUUGUCAGUCUCGUGCUAGGAUUGAUAUCCUUCUCCUAGAACAAUUGCUCUUUGGGGACACAAAGUCACCUCAAAAGCCUUGCAUAGUACAUUAGCAGAAAGGCAAAACAAUAACCGUUGCAUCAAAAAUAAUAUUUUCCAUUUUCAUUGUGGAGCUGUCAGCUAUUCCUGAGAAACACGGAUAUGGAUUUUUUAAAUGAAAAACACAUGUCAAAUCCCAGCAUGCAUGCCUUGUUUAUGCGUUCUUGCAAAAUAACUACUGAAAGGACCAAUCUCCAGAAACUGCCUGAUGGGACAUUAUCAGCCCGUAGUAUGCCAAAGGCACCUUUAAACAUGUGUUCACGGUGCAAUUGCCUUUUUCUCAAUAGGCAACUAGGCACUUGAAAUGCAUUUUUCAGACAAUGGCCAGUAUCUUCACAAAGUGAUGACUGCUGUGUCAAAACUAUUGUAGUUUGGACUGGUCCUACUGGUCCUGGCCUGAGGAGUUUUGUCCUUCACCACCAUCUUUCUGGUGUCCCUGCUUGUGAUUUUACAAAUGAUUUCUGGCUUUCACUAAAGGAUUAAUUUUAAAUUCUGUACUCCAAAAUCCAAACCAUGUACAAAAAAAAAAAUGAGCAAAGUGCAAUUUGUGAAUGAUGUGUAAUAGCUAAAAUCAUAUGGUUUGUAAGCAGCAUUUGCUAUCUUUUUCCUGGCUUGAUUUACACACAUUCCAGCAAUUCAACAUAUCCUGUACUUGUGAACCAGUUACUGAGUACAUAAUAUAACAUAUAUAUUGAACAGCAGUUAUAUUGCAACAUUUAGUUCAAAUGGUUCCUAUGGCACCUUACAGAAACAAAUCAUAAGGUAGUCCCUGCCCUCAGGUUUACAAUAAGAAAAGAUACUAAACAUGAAGAAGAAGGGGUGGGGCAGGGGGAAGCAAGCUCAAGAACCAUUUUUUUAAAAGAUAUAGGUCUUGUAACACAUAGUUCUGUCUAAGAUUCUGGCUUUCUAGGAAAGCAACAAUUCCACAGAAAAAGAUUUCCCCACCCCAAUCAGAUUUAAGAGCAAAACAGCAGACCCUCCAAUUGGACAUCCGUGAUUUAGAGAAGCCGUUCCGGUUUCCAUUUUGAUCCUAGAAUUCCUAUUGCCAUCAAGCCAGCAGUUAGAGAGGAUGGAGUUAUUUGACCCCUGAGCAGUCUGAAGGCAAUCCUGUAUAGGGAAGUGUUUGGGGUUUUUUUCAUUUUUAAUGUUUUGUUAUGUUUUUAUAUGUAUUGGAAGCUGCCCAGAGUGGGUGGGGCAACCCAGUAAGAAAGUAUAAACAGUAAAAUUAUCAUUAUGGAAUGGGACAUCCCUAUUUUUAUCAGAGAAAUGUUGGAGGGUAUGAAACAGGGGAUAAUGUCCAGGCCAGGAGAGCAGGGAUGCUCCUAACAUACCAUUGUUUUUCCUCUCUAACUGCUGGCUUGAUGGCAAUAGGAAUUGUCACAGAAGGGGUUCUGAUGGAGUUGUCCUCCUCCCUCACAUUAGUGAACAGCAGCUCUGUUGGUUCUGGGCAACCCUUUCCUGGAGGCACCUGCCCGCUCUGCCCCCAGAUCAGAGCCAGGAGCAGAGCAGAUGAUGUCUAUGUCAGGAAGACAGGGCUGCUCCUACCACACAGUUCUUUUCUCAGACAUCUAACAUCUGAAGCAAUCCUACAACUCCUGCCAACCUUUGGUUAUUUUGAUGUGGUCUAUCCCUGGCUUUGAUUUUGGUUGUGCUCUAGGAUUCUGGCACACAUUGGCCUAAGCUUCUUUGAUGAAGAGAUGAAGCUUAUAAGUAGCAUAAAGUUCCAUAAAGUCACUUGAGGUGUGAUAGCUUUAGAAAACAGCCACUUCCAAGUACAUACUCCCCAUGCAUAUAAUUAUUACAUAAUGUGUAAUUACGUGAACUUAGUGCAAAUGCCUAGAUAAACUAAGGUUCCUGAAUCCCACUCCAGGACCACAUUAAAAGGAAGCAAAGGCCAAUGCCUCAAAAACCAGAGCUGCUUCCUAAGCUCCUUCCACCAGCCUUCCAGACUCUACCCACAAGCUCUUCAAGAAAUAGUUUGGAGCAGCAUAUUUCCAGGCAUCCCUUCAAAAAUGUUGUCUUCAUAAAGAGUCGAUACUGGCUCAUGAUCCGGCACCACAGACAAAGAUAUUUGCUUUCCCUUUUUCUAACAUUUGUAUACAGAAAUACGUUACAAGGAAGCAGCAGGAGAAGCAGUAGCUUGAUUUUGCACGUCUUUUCAGGCUUUCUGGGUGACAUGCAAAGAAAGAGCACAAACAUUUGAACUCAUGUGUUUCUCCUUGGUUGGGAAACAAGAUGAACAAGUCAUGUGUGCUUCUGCUGUCAUAAUUACUUCCUUGUAACAUAUGAGUCCAUCCUCAUUUCUGGCCAAUCAAGCACAUCUUAGCAAUAGAAAGAUUCUGCUCAAGUUGGGCAGAAAGUAGAAUUCUCUGUUUCUCAGCUCCAGAUCAAUCUUUGCCUUCAUUUGAGUGUUUCAUUGCCCAUGAAUUUUCAGAGACCUUAACAGAUCAUUUGUCGGAACUUUCAGAAGUUCUUUAUGCCAGCAUAUUUUGAGAGAAAUCAUGGCAUGAACUGAGACAAUCCACUGGCAGUGAAGAAUUCAAAGCCUGCUUUUCUCCCUCCCCAUUUUGGAAGCCUCUUUUCUGCCAGCAAAUUUUUAGAGCUUUCUGCUCAGGCCGAUACUAUUUCCAGCACAGCUAACAGCUGAUAGCCAAGACCAAGACCAAUCUGAAUUUGCACCAACACCCAUCAUGGAUUAAGUUAAAUUUGUGUCAUUAACAUGCCAUGUAUUUGUUUUGUAACUACCGUGUGCCGCCACAUGGACUUUUUUACUCUCAUUCCCAAACUGCAGCCUUUACCCCCAGACUCAUUAAAACUCCUAGUGCAUAUUUCUACAUUAAAGCACUGGAUAUGAAAUCAUGUACCAGGGGAGAAGUGUAAAGUUAAGUUUAAUCAUCCACAGCUUGGGUGAUCACAGAAUGACAUCACAUUCUAGCACAGCCCUAUUCAAACUACUGCAGAAGUUAAAAACCAUGCAUAAUUUGAAAGUUUCCAAAUAUCAUGCUUUCAGCAUGGUUCAGCUUGAAUUCAGCCUAAGCAAUCUACACCACAGAUAUUAAUACCUUCAGCCUCACUAGACAGCAUAAGCAAAUUGGACUGAGUCAAUCAAAAUGGCAGCCUCAGAAUUUGUAAAAUUUUGCACAGUGUCAUUCCCAUUUACCAUUUUAAUUUCAAAUUACUUUUUGAUAUCCACUCCAUCUGUGACGGCUACUUUAACUUUAAAGUUUUAUAACUCAGUUGCUUUUUGGCACUUGGUUCACAGUCUGGUAGUUUCAAUGUGUUUCCAAAGCUGCGAAUGUUUGGCGACUUGCCAAUCUUCUCCAGCCAGACGACACUCCAUUUAUGCCAGGGGCCCCAUUCACUUCUGGGUAAUCUUCUGGGGGCAACAUGCCAGUGAUUGGCAGGUCCAGAUGCAAAAGUGGGCAGAGCAAUGAUGGGGAGAGCUUGGGAUGGGGUGUUACUUGGAGAAAAUCUUGAAGGUCAGAUAGAGAGAACUGGUUCCUUACCCGCAAUUUAUUAAAUAAUCUCUACUUUCCCCUCAAUGGGACGCGGGUGGCACUGUGGGUUAAACCACAGAGCCUAGGACUUGCCAAUUAGAAGGUCAGCGGUUCGAAUCCCCGCAAUGGGGUGAGCUCUCAUUGCUUGGUCCCUGCUCCUGCCAACCUAGCAGUUCGAAAGCACAUCAAAGUGCAAGUAGAUAAAUAGGUACCACUCCGGCGGGAAGGUAAAUGGUGUUUCCGUGCGUUGCUCUGGUUUGCCAGAAGCGGCUUAGUCAUGCUGGCCACAUGACCCGGAAGCUGUACACCGGCUCCCUCAGCCAAUAAAGCGAGAUGAGCACCGCAACCCCAGAGUCGGUCACGACUGGACCUAAUGGUCAGGGGUCCCUUUACCUUUACCUUACUAUCCCCUCAGAGAGAACAAAAAAUCCCUACACAUUCACAGCUUCAGGUCUGAUAUUCUGCUUGGCUGGGGGCCCCAUUAAAAAUACAAUCAGCCAAGGUGGGGUAAGGACAAGCACACUUCUAGGUGACUGAAAUUCUUGCUUAAGAUGAGAGAUUUGUGGAUAGGGGUGGAGGAUGCUAUCCAAGGACUUCCUCAACUAUUCGUACAGUUUAAGCAACAGGAGGAUGGGAUAUAUCGUCCCUCUCCUAUUGAUUCAAGCUUAGGUAUUCAGAUGAGCUCUAAAAUCCCAGUAUCUUUGGGAGUAAUAAAGAUCUGGUGUCCUUCCCUAUAUGCCAUUCUCAGAGUGGCCUUCUACCUGGUAUUUCUGCAAAGCUCAAUUACAGCUGGCAAAGCCACCUUUAUAUUUCACUGCCUUCACCACCAGCCACAAAAAUCCCUUUGAAGCCCAUUGUCUAGGACUGCUUUUUAUUACAGUUCUUAUCAACUUGUUUUCAUCACAGUUUUUCUGCAACAUAGCUUGGCUUGAUGGUGGGUGGGACCAGUGGCUCCACUGAGAAACCCCACAGGGAAGGCACCCAAGCUCCUAUGUAAAGCAUGUAGUUUUAUAUAAGUAGCAGGGAUCAGCUCCAACAUAUAUUUUUAGUGCAAUGGAACCCAUGGAAAAAGUGGAGAUGAAAGCACUCCUAAGCAGGCGCAGGGUAGGGAAGGACUGUAGCUCUAUGGUAGAGCAUCUUCCUUGCAUGCAGAAGGUCCCAGGUUCCACCAGUGAUGCCUCCAGGUACGGCUGGGGGAAAUAUCCUGUCUGAAACCCUGGAAAGCUAUUGCCAGAAUGUACAACACUGGGCUAAAUAGACCAGUGGUCUGGCUCAGUAUAAUGCAAAUGGUUCUCUGGUAGGGUCGGCAGGGUGCAAUCCAGUUGUCUGAAUUGCAUAGAUUAAAAUGUGUGAGCAACAGGUAUGGGUGUCUGACCAUCUGCGUCAAAAAAAGAAGAGGACUGAACUACUGAUCCCUUCCAACUCUCUUGAGUGUGGUAAGCUCCAGUAUUAAGUACAAAUGUGUUACUUGCUGGCAAUGGAUGUGCUUCAUGAAACAACAGGUACUGUAUGUUACAUUGAAUUGCACAGGGGCUAACAAUGAAGCUCACAUAUGAUACUGUGAUAAGCCAGCUGCUAACUACAUACACUGCAGGGAUUUGGGUGCACUUUGCUUUCAACCCUAUCCUGUUCCCUUCAGCUAAAGUAUAAAUUUAAUUCCACCCAGUCUAGCAUGCCCCCUCCAGAAAGAC